CCACACUAGACACUUCUGUACCUUAAAUUUCCUGUGUACCACAAACUGGCUACAGGGCUGCUGUCUCCAUACAUUCAUGUGCAGAGAUCAAGGAGCUAUGUGCUUUCCCAGUGUGAGAAACUAUGCUCCUUCUUCAGAAAAGCUCACCUAACAAGGGCAAGAUGCAACAUGGAAGUUGGAGAGAAGACUAAACAGAGGAUGCUGGACAAGUUAACAGAAAACUGGACUCUGAGACUAACUUGAAUAUAGAAAGGUUGCCUAACAUUGACUGGUGUAUGGGGACACAAAACGAAUGACUGGAAUUAUAUUUGAACAUGGCUUAAUCCUCUACUUGAGGAGACAGUGGGAGGUUAGAGAUGUGCUGCCUGGUUUAAUCAUUGUAUAAAACAGUCCAAUCCCUCUGGGUCCUCUGUCAUUGGUUAGCAACAUUAGUGAUUCUGAACAGCAAACCCACAUUUAUGGGUUCUUUUGUCUCAAAGUUGUGCAACUUACCUCAUUUCAGAUGAGUCAUGAUUUCACUUGAUAAUAGAAUGUAACUUUGUACCUCAGACAUAAUUGCAUAGAAAAAGAAGAAAACCUGUGAUGCAGUUAACUGUCCCCAGUUGUUCUCAUGCAGGUUUUUAGUGUAUGCAGUACUGAUUUCUGCCCUAAACAUGUACACGUGUUUACCAUGGACAUGGAAAUGUUUAAGCUGACUAUUUGUAUUAUGCUCUCUCCAUUUUUAAAAAGCUGAAUUUGUAUCAUUGCACAAAUGGCAAGGUAGCCCCUCACAUCUUAGUCUAUUAUACAAGAGUUACAUAGCACUAAAAGAAAGAAUUUAUUUUUCCUUCUCUGGUAAAGGAGGCAACUUGCAAAUCUCUAUCAAUACAGUUAACAUCCCACUUUACUUAUUUAUCCUUCAUAACUGGGUUCUGCAAGAAUAAAGGCCUGGAUCCCACUUCUGUAGACUACUCAGUGAUCGUAUCAUGAAACUGUGACUUUUGCCACACAGUUGUUAAUGUGCAUCCUAAUGUGCUUUUCUGGUAGACACAGGUGCCUUCAGUGGCAAGCCUAUGCUAAGACAGGCUAGGCUGUGUAUUCUUCCGUGUAUUAAAGCAUUUUCUGUAUAAAAGCAUAGUGUUCACAAAUGGAAACAGGAGUCACCUGCUCACCAGCAGCUAAGGUUGACAGAAGCAUAGCUAGAAAUUUCCAUACCUUAUCCAAGGAAUAAGAUAUUCACUGCUUACUAUAAAU